UUCUAAGGGCGGUGAAGUCAGACCGGAAGGACUGGUGGAGCGCUUAGAAGUGAGAAUGCCGGUAUGAGUAGCGAAAGAAGGGUGAGAAUCCCUUCCACCGAAUAUCUAAGGUUUCCUGAGGAAGGCUCGUCCGCUCAGGGUUAGUCGGGACCUAAGCCGAGGCCGAUAGGCGUAGGCGAUGGACAACAGGUAGAGAUUCCUGUACCAGUGCUAAUUGUUUAACCGAUGGGGUGACACAGAAGGAUAGGGAAUCGCACGAAUGGAAAUGUGCGUCCAAGCAGUGAGUGUGAGAAGUAGGCAAAUCCGCUUCUCGCGAAGCAUGAGCUGUGAUGGGGAAGGAAAUUAAGUACGGAAGUUCCUGAUUUCACGCUGUCAAGAAAAGCCUCUAGGAAGAGUAGUACUGCCCGUACCGCAAACCGACACAGGUAGAUGAGGAGAGAAUCCUAAGGUGAGCGAGAGAACUCUCGUUAAGGAACUCGGCAAAAUGACCCCGUAACUUCGGGAGAAGGGGUGCUCUAUUAGGGUGCAAGCCCGAGAGAGCCGCAGUGAAUAGGCCCAGGCGACUGUUUAGCAAAAACACAGGUCUCUGCAAAACCGUAAGGUGACGUAUAGGGGCUGACGCCUGCCCGGUGCUGGAAGGUUAAGAGGAGUGCUUAGCUUCGGCGAAGGUACGAAUUGAAGCCCCAGUAAACGGCGGCCGUAACUAUAACGGUCCUAAGGUAGCGAAAUUCCUUGUCGGGUAAGUUCCGACCCGCACGAAAGGCGCAACGAUCUGGGCACUGUCUCAACGAGAGACUCGGUGAAAUUAUAGUACCUGUGAAGAUGCAGGUUACCCGCGACAGGACGGAAAGACCCCGUGGAGCUUUACUGCAACCUGAUAUGGAAUGUUUGUACCGCUUGUACAGGAUAGGUAGGAGCCGAAGAGACGUGUGC
rnacentral:rRNA from 1 species